GAAAGUUACUUAAUCAACUUGAACUCUUCUUAGUUUUUCAUAUAAGUAGAUGUAUUGGUAUUUAUUUUUAUAUAUCGAGUAGAAGAGAAAUUUCCACGUUUGUAUAAGAGAGUUUUUUGAGAGAGAGAGAGAGAGAAUUGUUCUAUUGUACUAGUUAUAUAUUGUGUGAUUAAUGAAAGUUUGUUUAUUUGAGUGAAAAGUGAUAUUCUAUCACAACUUCUACCCAUUAUCAUGUGCUCGAAGUGAUAGUACCAAAACAAAUGAAAUGGCUUAAUUGUACCAUAUGAAUACAAUAAUAGAAUGAUCAUAUCAGACCUAAUAAUUAAAGAGAAAUAAAUGUUUUAAUAUGUUACUUUCUUUGAGUCAAAUGCAUGCCAGUGUCAUCCAUAUACACCUCAAAGCCUAAGAAGUAAUGCAAUGAACCCAGGUAUAUCAAGGCAAACAACAAAUUCAAUUUUUCAAUAAACAUGUCUAGUAACUUGCAAUCAUUCAUGUGACUAUCAAGUCAUUCAUAUAAAUCAAUACCAUUACUUCUUGAGUUUGGUUUUGGAAAAGAAAUAUGAAGAGUCAAACCAAGAGGUGAGGAAUCCCCAGCUUAAGAAAGUUGUUUUCAUUCUAUUAUACCUUGCUCUUGGUGCCUGCUUUAGUCCACAUAAGGCCUUUUCCAGAUUGUAUAUAUAUUUGGGCUUGCUUUUAUUUACAAAUCCUUUAGGUUGCCUCAUAUAGAAUUCUUCUUGCAGGACGCCAUUUAGAUAGGCAUUAUCUACAUCUAGCUAUCUCACUUUCUGGUUCUUGGAUACAGCUAUAGAUUAAGACUAUUAUGAUUGUUGAAGAUUUCGCAACUGGAAUGAAAGUUACAGAGUAGUCAAUCCCGGGUGUCUGGUGAAAUCUUUUGCAACUAGUCUUGGUUUGCAUCUCUGGAAGGAACCAUCCACCUUUUACUUGAUUUUGAACAACCAUUUAUUCCCUACAAUUUUAAGCUUUAGGGAAUAUGUAAUCAGAGUUCCAAGUUUUGUUCCUUAUAAGUGCCGUAUACUCACUUUCCAUUGCCUUUUUCCGCUGUCUAUUUCCCAAUGCUUCCUAAACACUUUGUGGUUCAACCAAGUUGCCAUCAAGAAUACUCUAUGGUUCAGACAAGUUUCUGCCACUCUCAGUUACUGCAUAUAGCUGAAAAUCAUCUCCUAAUGGGUUAGGCUUAUGAAUUCUUCUUCUGCUCCUAUUUUCCAUCUGAUGCAUUAUUCUCUGCUGUGAACUCUCUUCAAGUAAUUCAGAUUGUUCCAGACCCGCAAUGUCAGGCUGAUUACCUAUUUCAAUAGAGCCUAUUCCAUUUUCAACCGACGCAUCUCCUUGCAUUGCAGUAGUUGGUGAAUCUCGCUAAAAAUCAUCAUUUCUUAAUCCAUUAGUCUCAAAAGUUUGCAGCAUCAGAUGAAGCUGCAGGAGAGACCAUAGACUGAUUGUAUUUAGAGUUUCCAUUGUUAAGAACUGUAAGAGGAGAAGGAAAUGAGUUGUUUGGGACAAGAAUUGUGGAUGAAUUUUGAGGCUGUUUGGUGUUUAGAAAAUCACUUUGGAAAGGAAAUUCCUAUUCAUUGAAAAUCAAGUCUUGAAGUGUAUAUCCUCGGAAGAAUUUCUGUUUUGAUAUGGAAAGAAAGCGCAACCAAAGGUUUUCAGAGGCAUAGUCGAGACUUUCUGCUAGGAGCUUCUCAACUGGUGUGAGGACUUUCAAAACAGGAGUUGGUAGUCUAUUUAUGUACACUUCAAGAGUGCUUCAACCCAGAAUCUUAAGGGCAUAUGUCAGGUCUCUAUCUAUAACAUAUCUAUGUUUUCUCUUGGCCCUUCCAUUUGUGCAAAUGUACGAGGACACGAAUGUCUAAACUCAACUCUAUUUCGAAUAACAAACUAAACAAAACUUCUACACUCACCCCCAUUCAGAUUGUAAACAUUCUAUUUCCUCUCAUAUUUGUUUUCAACAAGGGCUUUAAAAGAAGGAGUACUUUAAAUUAAGGCAUCUGAUUUGUGUUUCAACGGGUACAACCAUGUAUACCUAGUGCGAUCAUCUAUCCAUUGGAGAUGGCCCCCAAACAUUAGCGUGAAUUAAAUCUAACACAUUAUCAGCAUGAGAAGUUGAAGAGCUGAAAAGAAGCAAAUGGUUUCCAGGCUGACAUGCAUUACAGAAAUUCUCAUUUUCAUCAAUGAGUAAUUUUUUAUUAAAACUCGUUAGGUUUUUUGACAAGAAUAAUGAUAUUUAACAACACUAGUAUAACACCAGUAUGAAUCACAUAAAUUUCACUUUUAGUUGAACUUAUCACAUUAUGCUACAUAGAUUGGUGCUUUAGCACUAUUGGUGCUAGAUAUUAUUAUUCUUUUGACAAAUUUCCGUGAG
rnacentral:lncRNA from 1 species